rnacentral:snRNA from 1 species
GUGCUCACUUCGGCAGCGCACAUACCAACAUUGAAACGAUACAGAGAUUAUUAGUACUGUCUCUGGGCAAGGAUGUCCCUGGGCAAGGAUGACACACACAUAUUUUU